rnacentral:rRNA from 1 species
GACGAACCGUCCGAACGUUAUUCGGAAUCACUGGGCUUAAAGGGUGCGUAGGCGGCGCAGUAAGUAGGGUGUGAAAUCCCUCGGCUUAACCGAGGAACUGCGCCCUAAACUACUGUGCUCGAGGGAGAUAGAGGUGAGCGGAACUUAGGGUGGAGCGGUGAAAUGCGUUGAUAUCCUAAGGAACACCGGUGGCGAAAAGCGGCUCACUGGAUCUCUUCUGACGCUGAGGCACGAAAGCUAGGGUAGCGAACGGG